UCUUUUCGGAUGAUCAGAC
rnacentral:sRNA from 1 species